rnacentral:rRNA from 1 species
UACGUAGGGUGCGAGCGUUAAUCGGAAUUACUGGGCGUAAAGCGUGCGCAGGCGGUUUUGUAAGCCAGAUGUGAAGUCCCCGGGCUUAACCUGGGAAUGGCAUUUGGGACUGCAAGGCUCGAGUGCGGCAGAGGAGACUGGAAUUCCUGGUGUAGCAGUGAAAUGCGUAGAUAUCAGGAGGAACACCGAUGGCGAAGGCAGGUCUCUGGGCUGACACUGACGCUCAUGCACGAAAGCGUGGGGAGCAAACAGG